GGAAGCUGGUGGUGGUGGAACAUCUGCUGUAUGUUCUUGACAGUGAGGUGACUUCUCUGCUGUCACUUCAAGCUGUGAUACACAUCUGGACAAGUAUUUGGGCCUUUUUGUUGUUGUCUUUUCUUCUGCGUAAGGAUACCCUCAGUCUUUGGGACCUUCACUUCCUGGUCAUGAUUCACUGUUGACCCGAUCUGGCAGUUCAUGACUUUGAACUCACCACAGAGUGCGGCUCUGCCUCCAGGGUGGCGUAUGUAUCAGUGUUUUAAAACAUCCUACAGCUGUGAUUUAUACAGAGGAAUGGGAUUCAAAAAAUUAAUGAAAUAUCUGUUUCACAGCGCAGACAAAAGCAGCUUGAAGAUGAUUACACUGACCAAACAAGACGACUGUCAGAUCAACUCACUGCAAAUACGAUCUCUGCCCUCGAUGACUGUUUGUUACUCUCUGGGUGUGUCUUCAGUCUCCUGUCUCAUCCAGACAAAAAUAAACAUGUCGAAGAGAGCCGAUUUCUUCUGUCGUCGUCAGAUGCUUCACAGAGGCUUUGCCCGAGAACAGUUACUUAACUUUAUUUGGAUGCAUUUCUAUGUUCCUUCCAUUUUGUAAAAUAUUUUUAUUAAUAUUUUGUGUUCACACUAUAUUAUAAAAUGCCCAAAUGCUCAUCUCUCUCCAGAUGCAAUCAUUAAAACCAUCCCUGGGCCGCCUGUGACCAUUUCUGCUCUCUGCACUGUUUGAUAUUG